UGAGGAACAUGACCUUCGGCGGGGGAUAGCCGGCCCAACGGCCGGGUAAUACCGCGUACGACCAUUUGGGGGCAUCCCCGAGUGGUGAAAGCAGCAAUGCGCCGAUGGAGUGCCUCGCGGCCUAUCAGCUAGUUGGUGAGGUAACGGCUCACCAAGGCGACGACGGGUAGCCGGCCUGAGAGGGUGACCGGCCACACUGGGACUGAGACACGGCCCAGACUCCUACGGGAGGCAGNAGGU
rnacentral:rRNA from 1 species